UCCCGAAGCCCUCGCUCGGUGAUCGCCGCCUCCCAGAGAUCCGUCUCUGCUACUGAUGACCAGAAUCCAGGGAUCCUCUCUCUCUCGGUGCGAGUUCUCGGUCGAGACAGUAGCGCUGGGAACUGCCGGUUUCGAGAAUUUGCCUCGAAAAGGUGGGUUCGCCUCUCUCGCAGUACCCGAGCGUUUUGGUCAAGGGGUUUGAAGAGAGUACGGUCUCUCAUGCUGAGGAAUCGGAUCUCGGGGUCGUCCGGGAUUGGCUAUGUUGAGAAUCAUUGUUCGCUUCACCACGGCCAUGGUAAUCACAACAAAGGACACCAACAGUGAAUUAGUUGUGUACCAUAUUGACCGUUCUACAAAUUGGCCAAACUAAGAGCUCAGAGGUUCAGUGGUUUUGGUAUCCGACAAGGAGCAGGGAAUUCAACAAUGUGGACUGCUUCAGAAGGAAAGCAUAAUUGCAGAACGGGAUAUGUUUAAGAACUUGAUGCACAGCCUACUUGUUAUGAGUUGAAACUGAGAGUUACAAGGAAAUUGGUCGAUUAGUUGAGGUACUAGAGGCUAUGUCAAUCAUGGAGAUCGUCCUUCAAAAGGCACCCUCGAAUUAGGCAGGCAAAAUUUUUAAUGAUGGCUGGAAGCAAUCUGGU